AUUGAACGCUGGCGGCAUGCCUUACACAUGCAAGUCGAACGGUAACAGGUUAAGCUGACGAGUGGCGAACGGGUGAGUAAUGUAUCGGAACGUGCCCAGUCGUGGGGUAUAACUACUCGAAAGAGUGGCUAAUACCGCAUACGACCUGAGGGUGAAAGCGGGGGACCGUCAGGCCUCGCGCGAUUGGAGCGGCCGAUAUCAGAUUAGCUAGUUGGUGGGGUAAAAGCCAACCAAGGCGACGAUCUGUAGCUGGUCUGAGAGGACGACCAGCCACACUGGGACUGAGACACGGCCCAGACUCCUACGGGAGGCAGCAGUGGGGAAUUUUGGACAAUGGACGCAAGUCUGAUCCAGCCAUGCCGCGUGCGGGAAGAAGGCCUUCGGGUUGUAAACCGCUUUUGUCAGGGAAGAAACGAGUUUCUCUAAUACAGAGACUUAAUGACGGUACCUGAAGAAUAAGCACCGGCUAACUACGUGCCAGCCGCCGCGGUAA
rnacentral:rRNA from 1 species